rnacentral:tRNA from 1 species
GCCGAGGUGGCGGAAUUGGCAGACGCGCUAGCCUCAGGAGCUAGUCCUCGCAAGGGGGUGCAGGUUCAACUCCUGUCCUCGGCA